CAGAGCCGUACAAAAACCUCCCUCAGUCAGACUGUACACUGACUGUACUGAUACAGCUGGGACCUACUGCAGGUGCUGAGGGGAGGAGAUGAUCCAGUACAAUGACACAGUGUGUAGUAGAGCUGAACAACAAUAUCUAUUUCUGAUCUGUUAGAUUUUCAAAUCUGUUAGAUUAUAUUCAGUCCUUCAUUGGUUCCUUAUUUAAUUUUAACACAUUUUUCUUGAGUAUCUCAUGGAGAACCAUGAACCCAGCUAUCUUCAAACGUUCAAAUCUGGUAUAUUCCAAAACAGACUUAUCGAAAUUCCUUUUACAUUCAACAGCUCUCUAAAAAGCUUAAACUUAAACUGACCUUUUCCUUUAGGAACAAGUCUUCUUUUUCUUUCAAUCUAGAAAAGUCCUGGUUGCAGAAACUAUGUAGCCUGUGUUUGACUAUAUUAAUAUAUUAAUAGUAGACACUCUACCAUGAUGCUGUUAGAUUAGUAACCAACACAAUACCUCUAACACAUCACUGUAUCUUGUCUCAGUUCCAAACAAAAUAACUGAGUUUGGUAAGAGUUCCUGUAGCGUUGCUGCCCCAUCUUGUAAUUUGAUAAUUUAAUUCUGAUUGAAGAUUUUAAAUGCAAGUUGGAGGACUAAUGCUGAUCACUGUCUGCACAUGUUUUAAACCUGCUCUUUGAAACUCUUUUAUGCACUUCGCUCUGUUUUUAACUUCCAUUCAUUGUUAUGUUUUAUACUGAACAAAAAUGUAAAUGCAGAAAAUCAGUCAGUAUCUGGUGUGACCACCAUUUGCCUCAUGCGAUACAUCUCCUUCGCAUAGAGUUGAUCAGGCUGUUGAUUGUGGCCUGUGGAAUGUUUCCCCACUCUUCAAUGACUGUGCAAAGUUGCUGGGUAUUGGCGGGAACUUGAACACCCUAUCGUACACAUCAAUCCAGAGCAUUCCAAACAUGCCCAAUUGAAAUUUGCCACUGAGUAUGCAGGCCAUGGAAGUACUGGGACAUUUUCAGCUUACAGUAAUUCUGUACAGAUCCUUGCGACAUGUGGUUGUGCAUUAUCCUGCUGAAACAUGAGGUGAUGGCGGCGGAUGUAUGGCGUGACAAUGGGCCUGAGGAUCUAAUGCAUUCUCUGUGCAUUCAAAUUGCCAUCAAUAAAAUGCAAUUGUGUUAGUUGUCCGUAGCUUAUGCUUGCCUGCCCAUACCCCACCUCCAUCAUGGGGCACUCUGUUCACAUCGUUGACAUCAGCAAACUGCUCGCCCACACAACAUCAUACAUGUGGUCUGCAGUUGUGUGUCCGGUUGGACGUACUGCCAAAUUCUCUAGAACGACGUUGGAGGCGGCUUAUGAUGGAGAAAUUAACAUUACAUUCUCAGGCAACAGCUCUGGUGGACAUUCCUGCAGUCAGCAUUCCAAUUGCAAGCUCCCUCAACUUGAGACAUAUGUGGCAUUGUGUUGUCUGACAUGACUGCACAUUUUAGAAUGGCCUUUUAUUGUCCCUAUCACAAGGUGCACCUGUGUAAUUAUCAUGCUGUUUAAUCAGCUUAUCAUGUUUCAGGAGAAGAACCAGAUGCAGACAGUGUCGAAGUAACAAAAGUGUAUUACAAGAACAGGGGGCAGGCAAAAUGACAAGUCAAGGACAGGCAGAGGUCAGUAAUCCAGAUCCAAAAGGUACAGAAUGGCAGGCAGUCUCAGGGUUGGGCAGGCAAAGGUCAAUAAUCUAGGCUGGUGUGACAAGGUACAGAAUGGCAGGCAGGCUCAAGGAAGAAAUGAUGAUCAAUACCAGAAAACAGGAACUAGAAAACAACAGGAGCAAAGGGAAAACCGCUGGUAGGCUUGACGAACAAAAGGAACUGGCAACAGACAAACAGAGAACACAGGUAUAAAUACACUGGGCAUAAUUGGGAGGAAAGGCGACACCUAGAGGGGGGUGGAGAUAAGUACAAAAACAUGUGAAACAGAUCAGGGUGUGACACCGCUUCUUUGAGAGAAUAUGGAACAUUUCUGUGAUCUUUUAUUUAUUUCCCCAGGUAGAUGUUGUAAUUGAGAAUGUGUUCUCAGUCAAUUUAUCUGGUAAAUUAAGGGAUAAAUAAAUACAUAUUUCAGCUCAUGAAACAUGGGACCAACACUUUACAUGUUGCGUUUAUAUAUCUCUCAAUUUGUGAUGCAACAAAAUGUGAAAAACAAGAGUCAGUCAGCAGAAUCACAGUCAACAAACAGAUUGCAGUUACUGAUCCUGACCACUGCAAAGAGACAGAAAGCCAAUGUUAUCUGGUCUAAUAAAAGUAUUAACAAUAUGAUCCAUUUCUCAGUCAAUAAUCAAUAGAAGGGGAUUCACAUAUUGGACUAUUUCCAUAUAGAACAGUACAUCUUUCAGUGGUCUGGGAGUGUUUAUAGCCCUGUGAGUUUAACACUUCAUGACUGAGAGCUGUCCUUCAUGACAACAGAACCCACAACAACCAUGACUUUUAGCACCAUCUUCAUCUGGAUACUUGCCCUCUGUCUCCAAGGUAAUAUAUUUUUCAGAAAAUUUUAUACUCCUGCAGUGGAAACUAUUUCAGUGGGACACUCAGUCAGUCUCAGCUGUAAGUGCUGCAGUGCUGUAUACAGUGAGGGCAAUGGACACUAUUUGCACUGGUACCAACAGAAACCUGGAGGAGCUCCUAAACUCCUGAUAUACUGGGCUAAAACCCUUCAGUCUGGGACUCCAUCUCGAGUCAGUGGCAGUGGAUCUGGGAGUGACUUCAGUCUGACCAUCAGUGGAGUCCAGGUUGAAGAUACAGGAUAUUACUACUGUCAGAGUGCACACUACUUAAGUGCCUGGGUGUUCACACAGUGAUACAGAGCCGUACAAAAAACUCCCUCAGUCAGACUGCGCAGUGACUCUACUGCUACAACAGGGACUUAUUCCAGGUGCUGAGGGGAAGACAGUGACAUGGAACACUGGUCAGUAGAGGAGGUCAACUUUGAAAAUGGCUAGAAAGUAUCAUACAAAUCACACGUUCUCCAACAUCGUCAUAACUGUCCUAAUCUUCAUCAUCAUCAUCAUGGCUGUAACUUGUUAUAUUGGUUCAUGAACUGAACGUUUAUAUAAAAGUUACUUAUAGUUUUGGAACACAUUACCAGUCCAUAUGCAGAGUAAGAUGUACAGAAGGAGAAAGAAUAGGGAUGUUAUUGAUGAUAACCAAUUAUUGAUGUGAUCAUCUAGCAUGCAUUAACCAUUUUCAUGAGCUGUUAGAUCUGUGAAUGAGACAUGAUGUGUUUGAGACACAUAUAUGUAGAUACAUACACUUUACGCUAUUAUCAUAAAGUAUAAUAACCAUUUUAUCUGUCUAUUAAUUACAUGGUGAAUCCACCAUAGAUGUUAAACCAGUCCACUUCCUCACAUCUGGCCCAGCCCAGGGUAUUUCACUUAGUUAAACUGUUCAACUGCUAGACUGAUAGCUGUGAGAG